rnacentral:rRNA from 1 species
ACUCAAAUGAAUUGACGGGGACCCGCACAAGCGGUGGAGCAUGUGGUUUAAUUCGAUGAUACGCGAAGAACCUUACCGAGGUUUGACAUCCUAGGAAUCCUCUAGAAAUAGAGGAGUGCCUUUUAGGAACCUAGUGACAGGUGUUGCAUGGCCGUCGUCAGCUCGUGUCGUGAGAUGUUGGGUUAAGUCCCGCAACGAGCGCAACCCUUGUCGUCUGUUGUAUUUUUCAGACGAGACUGCCCGAGCCAAUCGGGAGGAAGGUGGGGAUGACGUCAGGUCAGCAUGACCCUUAUGCCUCGGGCUACACACGUGCUACAAUGGCCGGUACAACGGGCUGCUAAGUCGCGAGACGGAGCUAAUCCCACCAAAACCGGUCCCAGUUCGGAUUGGAGGCUGCAACUCGCCUCCAUGAAGUUGGAAUCGCUAGUAAACGUAGGUCAGCAUACUACGUUGAAUACGUUCCCGGGUCUUGUACACACCGCCCGU